rfam:Schistosoma mansoni, Puerto Rico, WGS project CABG01000000 data, contig: 0268
AUCCAUCUGACCAGUCCCAAAUAGGAUGAAGCGCUCGUUCUGGAU